rnacentral:rRNA from 1 species
GAGCGGGCGUAGCAAUACGUCAGCGGCAGACGGGUGAGUAACGCGUGGGAACAUACCUUUUGGUUCGGAACAACACAGGGAAACUUGUGCUAAUACCGGAUAAGCCCUUACGGGGAAAGAUUUAUCGCCGAAAGAUUGGCCCGCGUCUGAUUAGCUAGUUGGUGAGGUAAUGGCUCACCAAGGCGACGAUCAGUAGCUGGUCUGAGAGGAUGAUCAGCCACAUUGGGACUGAGACACGGCCCAAACUCCUACGGGAGGCAGCAGUGGGGAAUAUUGGACAAUGGGGGCAACCCUGAUCCAGCCAUGCCGCGUGAGUGAUGAAGGCCCUAGGGUUGUAAAGCUCUUUUGUGCGGGAAGAUAAUGACGGUACCGCAAGAAUAAGCCCCGGCUAACUUCGUGCCAGCAGCCGCGGUAAUACGAAGGGGGCUAGCGUUGCUCGGAAUCACUGGGCGUAAAGGGUGCGUAGGCGGGUUUUUAAGUCAGGGGUGAAAUCCUGGAGCUCAACUCCAGAACUGCCCUUGAUACUGAAGAUCUUGAGUCCGGGAGAGGUGAGUGGAACUGCGAGUGUAGAGGUGAAAUUCGUAGAUAUUCGCAAGGACACCAGUGGCGAAGGCGGCUCACUGGCCCGGUACUGACGCUGAGGCACGAAAGCGUGGGGAGCAAACA